rnacentral:tRNA from 1 species
CAUUAGAUGACUGAAAUGUAAGUAAUAAUUUUUUAAAUUAUUUAUAAUAAAUUAACUAUUAUUUCUAAUGA